UACGGAGGGUGCAAGCGUUAUCCGGAUUCACUGGGUUUAAAGGGAGCGUAGGCGGGCUAUCAAGUCUGGGGUGAAAUGCCGCGGCUCAACCGUGGAACUGCCUCAGAUACUGACGGCCUCGAGGGGGGUAGGGGCAUGCGGAACUGUAGGUGGAGCGGUGAAAUGCGUUGAUAUCUACAGGAACUCCGGUGGCGAAAGCGGCGUGCUGGAUCACUUCUGACGCUGAGGCUCGAAAGCCAGGGGAGCGAACGGG
rnacentral:rRNA from 1 species